AGUUGGUGGAGUGAUUUGUCUGGUUAAUUCCGUUAACGAACGAGACCGUUGCCUAUUAAAUAGUGACGCGAACACUUCGUUCGCGGCGCACUUCUUAGAGGGACAACUUGUUUUCAACAAGUGGAAGUUAGCGGCAAUAACAGG
rnacentral:rRNA from 1 species